rnacentral:rRNA from 1 species
UACGAAGGUCCCAAGCGUUAUCCGGAUUUAUUGGGUUUAAAGGGUGCGUAGGCGGGCUAUUAAGUCAGUGGUGAAAGCUCUCAGCUUAACUGGGAAACUGCCAUUGAUACUGAUAGUCUUGAGUAUGAUUGAAGUGGGCGGAAUGUGUCAUGUAGCGGUGAAAUGCUUAGAUAUGACACAGAACACCGAUUGCGAAGGCAGCUCACUAAGCCAUAACUGACGCUGAUGCACGAAAGCGUGGGGAGCAAACAGG